AGUGAACGCUGGCGGUAGGCCUAACACAUGCAAGUCGAACGGCAGCACAGUAAGAGCUUGCUCUUACGGGUGGCGAGUGGCGGACGGGUGAGGAAUACAUCGGAAUCUACUUUUUCGUGGGGGAUAACGUAGGGAAACUUACGCUAAUACCGCAUACGACCUACGGGUGAAAGCAGGGGAUCUUCGGACCUUGCGCGAUUGAAUGAGCCGAUGUCGGAUUAGCUAGUUGGCGGGGUAAAGGCCCACCAAGGCGACGAUCCGUAGCUGGUCUGAGAGGAUGAUCAGCCACACUGGAGCUGAGACACGGUCAAGACUCCUACGGGAGGCAGCAGUGGGGAAUAUUGGACAAUGGGCGCAAGCCUGAUCCAGCCAUACCGCGUGGGUGAAGAAGGCCUUCGGGUUGUAAAGCCCUUUUGUUGGGAAAGAAAAGCAGCAGGUUAAUACCCCGCUGUUCUGACGGUACCCAAAGAAUAAGCACCGGCUAACUUCGUG
rnacentral:rRNA from 1 species